AUUGAACGCUGGCGGCAGGCUUAACACAUGCAAGUCGAGCGGGGUGAUGGUGCUUGCACUAUCACUUAGCGGCGGACGGGUGAGUAAUGCUUAGGAAUCUGCCUAUUAGUGGGGGACAACAUCUCGAAAGGGAUGCUAAUACCGCAUACGUCCUACGGGAGAAAGCAGGGGAUCACUUGUGACCUUGCGCUAAUAGAUGAGCCUAAGUCGGAUUAGCUAGUUGGUGGGGUAAAGGCCUACCAAGGCGACGAUCUGUAGCGGGUCUGAGAGGAUGAUCCGCCACACUGGGAGUGAGACACGGCCCAGACUCCUACGGGAGGCAGCAGUGGGGAAUAUUGGACAAUGGGGGGAACCCUGAUCCAGCCAUGCCGCGUGUGUGAAGAAGGCCUUAUGGUUGUAAAGCACUUUAAGCGAGGAGGAGGCUCUUUUGGUUAAUACCCAAGAUGAGUGGACGUUACUCGCAGAAUGAGCACCGGCUAACUCUGUGCCAGCCGCCGCGGUAA
rnacentral:rRNA from 1 species